UACGUAGGGUGCAGGCGUUAAUCGGAAUUACUGGGCGUAAAGCGUGCGCAGGCGGCUCCUUAAGUCAGAUGUGAAAGCCCCGGGCUUAACCUGGGAACUGCGUUUGAAACUGGGGAGCUAGAGUGUAGAAGAGGGGGGUGGAAUUCCAGGUGUAGCAGUGAAAUGCGUAGAGAUCUGGAGGACCACCGAUGGCGAAGGCAGCCCCCUGGGCUAACACUGACGCUCAUGCACGAAAGCGUGGGGAGCAAACAGG
rnacentral:rRNA from 1 species